GCUGUAGCUCAGUGGCAGAGCAUCUGCCUCUCGUGCAGAAGGUCCUGGAUUCAAUCCCCGGCAUCUCCA